rnacentral:rRNA from 1 species
AGUCGAGAAUCUUUCACAAUGGGGGAAACCCUGAUGGAGCGACGCCGCGUGGAGGAUGAAGGUCUUCGGAUUGUAAACUCCUGUCAUGUGAGAACAAGGAAUGUGGAUUAAUACCCCGCAAACUUGCUGGUAUCACAAGAGGAAGGGACGGCUAACUUCGUGCCAGCAGCCGCGGUAAUACGAAGGUCCCAAGCGUUGUUCGGAAUUACUGGGCGUAAAGGGAGCGUAGGUGGCGCGGAAAGUCAGAUGUGAAAUCCCGGGGCUCAACCUCGGAACUGCAUCCGAUACUCCCGCGCUCGAGGACUGGAGAGGAACCUGGAAUUCACGGUGUAGCAGUGAAAUGCGUAGAUAUCGUGAGGAACACUAGUGGCGAAGGCGAGGUUCUGGACAGUUCCUGACACUGAGGCUCGAAGGCCAGGGGAGCGAA